rnacentral:rRNA from 1 species
GGAUGAACGCUAGCGGCAGGCUUAAUACAUGCAAGUCGAGGGGCAGCACGGUUAGCAAUAACUGGUGGCGACCGGCGCACGGGUGCGUAACACGUAUACAAUCUACCUUAACAGGGGGAUAGCCUUUCGAAAGAGAGAUUAAUACCCCGUAAUAAUUGAACGGCAUCGUUUGAUUUUGAAAGCUCCGGCGGUUUGAGAUGAGUAUGCGUCUGAUUAGCUAGUUGGUGAGGUAACGGCUCACCAAGGCGACGAUCAGUAGGGGAUCUGAGAGGACUAACCCCCACACUGGUACUGAGACACGGACCAGACUCCUACGGGAGGCAGCAGUAAGGAAUAUUGGUCAAUGGAGGCAACUCUGAACCAGCCAUGCCGCGUGCAGGAUGACGGCCCUAUGGGUUGUAAACUGCUUUUAUACAAGAGAAAACCCUGGUACGUGUACCAGGUUGAUAGUAUUGUAAGAAUAAGCAUCGGCUAACUUCGUG